rnacentral:rRNA from 1 species
GACGUAGGGCGCGAGCGUUGUCCGGAUUUAUUGGGCGUAAAGAGCUCGUAGGCGGCUUGUCGCGUCGACUGUGAAAUCCCGCGGCUCAACUGCGGGUCUGCAGUCGAUACGGGCAGGCGUAGAGUUCGGUAGGGGAGACUGGAAUUCCUGGUGUAGCGGUGAAAUGACGCAGAUAUCAGGAGGAACACCAGUGGCGAAGGCGGUGCUCUGGGCCGGAACUGACGCUGAGGAGCGAAAGCGUGGGGAGCGAACAGG